rnacentral:rRNA from 1 species
GUGGAUUAGAUACCCUAGUAGUCCACGCUGUAAACGAUGGGCACUAGGUGUCGCGGGUUUUGACCCCCGCGGUGCCGUAGCCAACGCGUUAAGUGCCCCGCCUGGGGAGUACGGCCGCAAGGCUAAAACUCAAAGGAAUUGACGGGGGCCCGCACAAGCGGUGGAGCAUGUGGUUUAAUUCGACGCAACGCGCAGAACCUUACCCGGGCUAGAAAAACUAGGAAUCCUUAAGAGAUUAGGGAGUGCCCGCAAGGGAACCUAGGUCCAGGUGCUGCACGGCCGUCGUCAACU